UGUAGGAAUUAUAAUGCUGAAGCAGAAUUCACUAAGCGUUGGAUUGUUCACCCACCAAUAAGGAACUUGAGCUGGGUUUAGACCGUCGUGAUACAGGUU
rnacentral:ncRNA from 1 species